rnacentral:rRNA from 1 species
UACGGAGGGUGCAAGCGUUAUCCGGAUUCACUGGGUUUAAAGGGUGCGUAGGUGGGUUGGUAAGUCAGUGGUGAAAUCCCCAGGCUUAACCUGGGAACUGCGUCGGAUACUGGUUGGCUUGAAUCCGGGAGAGGGAUGCGGAAUUCCAGGUGUAGCGGUGAAAUGCGUAGAUAUCUGGAGGAACACCGGUGGCGAAGGCGCAUCCUGGACCGGCAUUGACGCUGAACAGCGAAAGCCAGGGGAGCAAACGGG